rnacentral:rRNA from 1 species
UACGUAGGGGGCUAGCGUUGCUCGGAAUCACUGGGCGUAAAGCGCACGUAGGCGGUCUUGUAAGUCGGGUGUGAAAGCCCAGGGCUCAACCCUGGAAGUGCACUCGAAACUGCAAGGCUAGAGUACCGGAGAGGUUGGUGGAAUUCUCGGUGUAGAGGUGAAAUUCGUAGAUAUCGAGAGGAACACCGGCGGCGAAGGCGGCCAACUGGACGAGUACUGACGCUGAGACACGAAAGCGUGGGGAGCAAACAGG